UACGAAGGGGGCUAGCGUUGCUCGGAAUCACUGGGCGUAAAGCGCACGUAGGCGGCUUCUUAAGUCAGGGGUGAAAUCCUGGAGCUCAACUCCAGAACUGCCUUUGAUACUGAGAAGCUUGAGUCCGGGAGAGGUGAGUGGAACUGCGAGUGUAGAGGUGAAAUUCGUAGAUAUUGGGAAGAACACCGGUGGCGAAGGCGGCUCACUGGCUCGUAACUGACGCUCAUGCACGACAGCGUGGGGAUCAAACAGG
rnacentral:rRNA from 1 species